rnacentral:lncRNA from 1 species
UAAAGUUUAUCUCUUCACAAAGGCUCUCACACUACCAAACUGCAAAUUUAUGGAAGAGAUGAAAAAUUUGUGACCCUUUCAUCACCUCUUGUUAAAUAUAAAUCAAUAUAAAUAAUAUAAAUAUUAUUGGGAAUGCCAACACUCAGUAGCUGAAAGGCAGGUUUUGCUCAUCACAGCUUUUGGCUAUUGUCCACGGGAAAUUAAAAAGCUUAAUAAUCAGCUUUCAGAAACAAGACAAACUUGAGAUUAACCUUUGAAAAAAAGGGAAGAUUAAUGAUUUUGAAUGCUUCUUUUCAAUUGUGGUGUAGGAAAGAAAGAAAAUUGCAUAGAAAUUGCAGAGUCCUGAAAUGAAUCUAUCCUGAAUUAUGAUUUGAACUGUAGGAGUCCUCUAAGCCUGACACUAGAUCUGUUUGGGAAAAUAGCUGACAUAUUGCCUCAUUAGAAAAUUGAGAAAACAAGCCUUGACUGUGUCUUCAAACACCAAAGCAUAUCCACGUAAAGGGUGAAAAAAAAAAUAAUCAGAUUUUGUCAUGAAAUAUAUAUUUUUAAAUUUUACUAAAAACUACAAGAAUACCCAACACAGCACCAGACUGUACUAAUCUCUAAGACAGACAUUCCAAUAAGAGGAGGAGAUGACAUUGGAGAAUUACCAGGAACACAGUCAUCUAUAUAUGUGUACAAAGGGGAAUAAAGACAAGUUAUUUUCUUUCAGUUUUAUAGAUAUGUCUCUUUCUCUCUUUGUCUCUCUCAAAAUAAAUAAAUAAAUAAAUAAAUAAAAUAAAAGGAAAAAAAAAGUUUUGUUAGGGAACUAACAAAGGAGAGCUCUAGAAUCCCUUGCAGUUUGCUGAUAAGGACAUUGCUGAGAAGCAGUAAUAAAAACCAUUUACUAAGCAGAAAGGGAAAAAUUAAAAGAAAAAUGUAACUAUAAUAAUACAUACAUGUAUACACAGUGCAAUUACUCCCAAUUCACUGACUGACACACAGCAACAAUACAACUUCCCAUGGACCAAUGCCCUUCUACCAGCCCCUGAUGAACACUCAAGAAACAACACAACUGCCCACCAAUCAUUCCACAAAGAUUACACGCUUGUUGCUGAAGAACAUACAAGUGUGAUUGUUUCAGGACAAGAAAAAAUGAAGCAAGUUUCGGGGUUGAUGGAGAUAACAAAAAGAGGUGUGAAGAAACAAUUGUAUUCCUUAUGGCAAAGUAUACAGAAGAGGUGCUCCCUGCCACAGGACUUUUCUUCCCAGAUC